UACGUAGGGUGCAAGCGUUGUCCGGAAUUAUUGGGCGUAAAGGGCUCGUAGGCGGUCCGUCGCGUCGGGAGUGAAACUCGGGGCUCAACCCCGAGCCUGCUUUCGAUACGGGCGGACUAGAGGUAGGUAGGGGAGAACGGAAUUCCUGGUGUAGCGGUGGAAUGCGCAGAUAUCAGGAGGAACACCGGUGGCGAAGGCGGUUCUCUGGGCCUUACCUGACGCUGAGGAGCGAAAGCCAGGGGAGCGAACGGG
rnacentral:rRNA from 1 species